rnacentral:misc_RNA from 1 species
AGCCACAUUCCCAUUUUUUCUCCUGGAUGAACAAUAUAUAUUUGUGAGUAUAUAAUUGGUGGAAAUCCUUUUCCGUCAUGUGACUUGUAGGUGUAGCUAUCGAUGAAAUAGACAAAAGCCACAUUGCAUGUCUCAGUUUGGUGCAACCAGAAGGCAAUAAUAAUUCCAUGUAGAUAAAGGGAUAGUUUGAUAAGAAGGUGGUAGCAAAAGGUAACAUAUUUCUGCCGUUCUGUAAUGCAUGACAUGAAAGCGAUAUGUUAUCUGACAGAGAAGCAGCUGUGGAUCAUGAUCCAAAUGCGAAGAAAACAAAAGAGCAUUCCUAGAUUAGCCUGGCACUACCCCCAUCAGUCACGCUCCACCUCUUAUUUGGAAGCAGCAAGAACUGUCAAUAGAAUAGUUGGGCAGUGGCGACAUACAGUGAUUACCCAUUCAUAUACUGAAGACAUGUCAGUGGCAUUCAUGGAUCCAGGAAUCAGUAGUAAUUGUCAUGAACUGGCAAAAAUAGUUGAGAGAAUGUCUCACCAAAUGCUGCCUGUGCAAGCUCA